rnacentral:SRP_RNA from 2 species
GCUGGGCAUGGUGGCGCAGGCCUGUAAUCCCAGCUACUCAGGAAGCUGAGGCAGGAGAAUUGCUUGAACCCAGGAGGCGGAGGUUGCAGUUAGCCGAGAUUGCGCCACUGCACUCCAGCCUGGGUGACACAGCAAGACUCCGUCUCAA